GAUGAACGCUGGCGGCGUGCUUAACACAUGCAAGUCGAACGGUGAAGCAGAGCUUGCUCUGUGGAUCAGUGGCGAACGGGUGAGUAACACGUGAGCAACCUGCCCCUGACUCUGGGAUAAGCGCUGGAAACGGCGUCUAAUACUGGAUAUGAGCUGCGACCGCAUGGUCAGGAGUUGGAAAGAUUUUUCGGUCUGGGAUGGGCUCACGGCCUAUCAGCUUGUUGGUGAGGUAAUGGCUCACCAAGGCGUCGACGGGUAGCCGGCCUGAGAGGGUGACCGGCCACACUGGGACUGAGACACGGCCCAGACUCCUACGGGAGGCAGCAGUGGGGAAUAUUGCACAAUGGGCGAAAGCCUGAUGCAGCAACGCCGCGUGAGGGAUGACGGCCUUCGGGUUGUAAACCUCUUUUAGCAGGGAAGAAGCGAAAGUGACGGUACCUGCAGAAAAAGCGCCGGCUAACUACGUG
rnacentral:rRNA from 1 species